UGAAUUUAUAGUGCUUUAAUUUUGUAACAUAAGAUUUUCUGACUUUAAUUUAAUGCACAAUAAACUCCUCUUUACAUGUAGCUCGGUUAAUUAACAUAACUUUACAAGAAGUUAUAAAAAAAUGAAAUGACUUAAAUAUCCCUAAAUAACAAAUUUCUCUUUCACCCAUUGCCCCUCUCUAUCCAUCAGCUUCUCUCUCUCUCUCUUCCCCUUCUUUCUCUCAAUCAUAGCUGUUUGUCUCUCUUAAGUUAUCCAAAACUAACAAUGAACAAAACUAGGAAAUUUCAAAAACAACAAUCACAAACUAUUGAUAAAAUUUUCAAGUUAUGAAUAAAUUUGAACAUAAAUUUCAAUUUAUGAACAAAUUUCUCACAAUUUAUUUUUUUCUUUAAAUUAAAAUAACAAAAUAAUCGAAAUUUCAACACAUCCAAUGGAACGAGGUAUGGAAGGCAGAGCACAAAUUUCAACACUAGAGGCAGUGAAGGCAGAGCAAUGGCAAAUUUGAGGCAAAGCAAAUUCAUCAAUGCUUUUAAGCAUUCCACAAUAAAAAAGUGGCAAUCGGUGCUCCACCUCCGCCAACCCCUGCACCACAGGCUCCCAUUGACCUCCUUGAUUUUGACGCCACCCCAUCAUCCACCCUAUCUUCUCUAGGACUUGCCUCAUAUGAUGGCUUAGAUGAUGUGCACCAGAUUGAGUUGGAUAGUAGGUUGCAUUGUCACCAAUCCUCCCUCUCAGCCACAUGGAUUAAAUUCACAAUAAAUUCCCACCAAAACAGUUUUUAGCGGAUACGCAUAGGAAGGAAAAAUCUCAAGGACCUGUUUGAGUACAAAGUAGCAACCCUCCUAAUCAAAACUCACUAGUUGAUAAAAAAAGCACUAGUAGCUGUAGAUCCUUUCCAUCCGAGAAUGCCCUCAAGCUGCAAAUGUGCUAAAGGAGAUCCAAAUGUUGAUAGCCUUGAAACAACUGAAAUUGGAGUUGAAAGGUGUAGGGGUUUUAGUAGCGUGCAUGAUCCUACUGAAAUCCUCAACUGAAUUAUCAGGGAAGGAUUCUACUGGGACCAAUAACAAGGUGGAGACGAUGAUCGUGGAGGUGGUGGUGGUGGUGGUGAAGGUUAGAGAGGAGGCAGAAAGGGAAGGUUUCUUGGUGGCCGAGAAUGGUAGGUGAGGUGAGGCAAAAGAGAUGAGAUGAGAGUGGGAAGAAAACCAGAGUUGAUAAGAGUGACAUUUCAACUGUCAAGUAUUUGAUCAUAUUAACAAGAUUUUCAACCAUCAAGCAUUGAUUAUAUUCACAAGACUCAUCAAAUGAAACCAGAGUUGACCACAAAGAUUUAGUAUCGAAAUAGAGCUCCUCUCCCCUUUUGCUAAAUACGGAGGAUAUCACCUUCAGACUGCAAAAUUACUGAUUAAAUUAAAGGAAAACUAUGUCAUCCAGAUACACAAACAAACUCCUACUUAUAACUGAAAGACCAAAGGAUUUUCUACCUAAAGCAUAUUGGAUUUCCUGAUAAAUGUCAUUCAAAUAGAACUUACAACUUCUCUUAGACUUGGUCAUGUCCUUCAUCUUGAUAAUACAAGGGAUUUCCAAAAAAAUCCACAAGGAUGCCGUCAUGUAGCUGGAGGUAUGCUAGUCUGUCACUCAUUUUGUAGACCAAUCCUGAAGAGCUUUCCAAUGGAUAAAAUUUAACAAAAAAAUCUAUCAUCAACGGGUUAUGUUACCUUCCAGUUUAAACCCUAAUCCAAUAAACCACUACAUAGAAGGGAAGACUUCAUAAAACCACCUAUAACUAUAUUAUGCAGCCACAUAAGAUGUAAAUGCAUGACAAAGAAGUAUUGAUGCAAACAGGCAUUUAAUUCAAUCAAACCCUCAGCAACAUUCAUAUGCAUACUGUCAAUUGAGAAACCCCAAACAGGGAAACAAAAUUACAAUUCUAUAACCUCAAUUUGAAAACUAACCUCAAUGAUACAAGUAUAGUAAUCCAGGAAAAUAGAUUCCUAAUAACAUUCCUAUCACAAGCUGCUGGUCCCAACACACAUCAACACAAUCGUGGUAGAAUCAAUAAGCCUAUUUGGGUCCCCCAAUUAGUGCACAAAGUAGAGCGAAGAAUUAUUCAUUGUGACAAUCAAUUUAAGAACUUUGAUACUAUAAAACUAUCAUACACUUAAAACAGCAAUACAGUACAACAACUUAGAAGCCAAAGAAACAUAAAAGAGAGGAUAACAGAACAGAGGUAAAGAUUCAGGAGUCACCGCCAGCCGUGAACAGCUCUAGAGUACCUUUCCUUGAGCCACCUAAAACUCUUCUUGAAAGACCCUUUAACUUUCCCUUCUACAGUGUAAAGCUUAUAGCUAGCGACUCUCUUCUUUCGUUGCAGCUCCGCAUCAUUGAAACUCCAGCUCUUGGAAACAGACCCAUUUGUAGACUUGCCCUUUUUGAACCGAGCAUCGUUAUUGCCCAUCUGGGUUUGGGUCUGGGAUUGGGGAGGGUAAACGGAGGAUGCAUAGGAGGCACUGUAACAUCUGAGAUCUUGCAUGUUACUGACAGCUGAUGAAGAAGUGGGACACACAGCACCCUGACCAUGGUAGCUCUGUAUUUGCAUUCUUCCAUCGCCAUAAGACCUGGAUCUGAAAUCGUCCAUUGACGAAGCGUGUGCGUGUACGCUCUCUACAGCCCAGUGUCUGUAGAACGGAGCAAUUUGGGUUGCUUUCAAUCGGCUGUUAAUUUUAAGGAGCUGACCAUGGAAACAUGUGGCGUCGGUGAU
rnacentral:misc_RNA from 1 species